UGUUCCUUAGUUUGGACCUCUUUCCUUCAAAAAGACCUGUCCUCGCUUUGCGUCAGACGAAAGAAACAAAGAGCCUCAGUAAAGAACAACAUCUAGAAGAAAACGGUUCCAGAUGAAUUCUAUUCUUUUUCUGGUGGCUGCGUCAACUCUAUUUCAUUCCGUUUGGCCAU